rnacentral:rRNA from 1 species
GCCCGCGGCCUAUCAGCUAGUUGGUGAGGUAAAGGCUCACCAAGGCGACGAUCCGUAGCUGGUCUGAGAGGAUGAUCAGCCUCACUGGGACUGAGACACGGCCCAGACUCCUACGGGAGGCAGCAGUGGGGAAUAUUGGACAAUGGGCGCAAGCCUGAUCCAGCCAUGCCGCGUGGGUGAUGAAGGCCCUAGGGUUGUAAAGCCCUUUCGGCGGGGAAGAUAAUGACGGUACCCGCAGAAGAAGCCCCGGCUAACUUCGUGCCAGCAGCCGCGGUAAUA